rnacentral:rRNA from 1 species
GACGAACGCUGGCGGCGUGCUUAACACAUGCAAGUCGAGCGGUAAGGCUCCUUCGGGAGUACACGAGCGGCGAACGGGUGAGUAACACGUGAGCAAUCUGCCCUUCACAUGGGAAUAACUUCGGGAACCGAAGCUAAUACCGAAUACGACCACCGAUGGCAUCUUCUGGUGGUGGAAAGUUCCGGCGGUGAAGGAUGAGCUCGCGGCCUAUCAGCUUGUUGGNGAGGUAAUGGCCCACCAAGGCGACGACGGGUAGCCGGCCUGAGAGGGUGACCGGCCACACUGGGACUGAGACACGGCCCAGACUCCUACGGGAGGCAGCAGUGGGGAAGUAUUGGACAAUGGGCGAAAGACCUGAUCCAGCAACGCCGCGUGA